rnacentral:tRNA from 1 species
AGUUUUAGUUGGUGCUAAUAAAGUUUUGAAAACUUUAAUGGGGUGUUCGAUUCACUUAAGAUUUU